rnacentral:rRNA from 1 species
CAAUAGCGUAUAUUAAAGUUGUUGCAGUUAAAAAGCUCGUAGUUGGAUUUCUGGUAGGAGUGACCGUUCCGAACUUGAUUGUUCGUGUAUUGUGUUUUCUCCAGCCAUCCUUGUGGAGAAUAUUUCUUGCAUUAAUUUGUAGGGAUUGGGACCCGCAUCGUUUACUGUGAAAAAAUUAGAGUGUUUAAAGCAGGCAAUCGCUUGAAUACAUUAGCAUGGAAUAAUAAGAUAGGACUUUGGUACUAUUUUGUUGGUUUGCAUACCAAAUUAAUGAUCAACAGGGACAGUUUGAGGAUAUUCGUAUGAACAUGUCAGAGGUGAAAUUCUUGGAUUUUGAUCAGACGAACUACUGCGAAAGCAUUUAUCAAGGAUGUUUUCAUUAA